rnacentral:tRNA from 1 species
GCGGAUGUGGCGGAACUGGUAGACGCACUGGAUUUAGGUUCCAGCGGGGCGACCCAUGGGGGUUCAAGUCCCUCCAUCCGCACCA